AGUGAACGCUGGCGGUAGGCCUAACACAUGCAAGUCGAACGGCAGCACAGUAAGAGCUUGCUCUUACGGGUGGCGAGUGGCGGACGGGUGAGGAAUACAUCGGAAUCUACUUUUUCGUGGGGGAUAACGUAGGGAAACUUACGCUAACACCGCAUACGACCUACGGGUGAAAGCAGGGGAUCUUCGGACCUUGCGCGAUUGAAUGAGCCGAUGUCGGAUUAGCUAGUUGGCGGGGUAAAGGCCCACCAAAGCGACGAUCCGUAGCUGGUCUGAGAGGAUGAUCAGCCACACUGGAACUGAGACACGGUCCAGACUCCUACGGGAGGCAGCAGUGGGGAAUAUUGGACAAUGGGCGCAAGCCUGAUCCAGCCAUACCGCGUGGGUGAAGAAGGCCUUCGGGUUGUAAAGCCCUUUUGUUGGGAAAGAAAAGCAGCAGGUUAAUACCCCGCUGUUCUGACGGUACCCAAAGAAUAAGCACCGGCUAACUUCGUG
rnacentral:rRNA from 1 species